rnacentral:tRNA from 1 species
GCGGGCGUAGCUCAGUAGGUAGAGCACCGGAUUGUGGCUUCGGUUGUCGCGGGUUCGAUCCCCGUCGCUCGCCCCA